rnacentral:rRNA from 1 species
GUGGGGUAACGGCCUACCAAGGCUAUGACGGGUAGCUGACGUGAGAGCGUGAGCAGCCACACUGGGACUGAGACACGGCCCAGACUCCUACGGGAGGCAGCAGUGGGGAAUAUUGCGCAAUGGGCGAAAGCCUGACGCAGCGACGCCGCGUGGGGGAGGAAGGCCUUAGGGUUGUAAACCCCUGUCACGUGGGACGAACCCCGGGUCGGUGAAUAAUCGGCUCGACUGACGGUACCACCAAAGGAAGCUCCGGCUAACUCCGUGCCACCACCCGCGGUAAUACGGAGGGAGCGAGCGUUGUUCGGAAUCACUGGGCGUAAAGGGCGCGUAGGCGGCCGAGUAAGUCGUGUGUGAAAGACCGGGGCUCAACUCCGUGUACUGCAUGCGAUACUGCUCGGCUAGAGAAAGGUAGAGGCGAAUGGAAUUCCCGGUGUAGCGGUGGAAUGCUUACAUAUCGAGAAGAACACCUGUGGCGAACGCGGCUCGCUGGGCCUUUUCUGACGCUGAAAUGCCAAAGCGUGGGGAGCAAACAAGAUUACAUACCCUGCUAAUCCACGCCGUAUACGAUGGGCACUAGGCGUUGGGAGGAUUGACUCUCUCACUGACGUAACUAACGCGUUGAGUG